rnacentral:tRNA from 1 species
UAGCUCAGUUGGCUAGAGCAGCUGAUUUGUAAUCAGCAGGUCGGGGGUUCGAGUCCCUUCACCA